rnacentral:tRNA from 1 species
AAGAUUUUAAGUUAAAUAAAACUAAAAGCCUUCAAAGCUUUAAAUAAAAAAAUUUUUUUAAAUCUUA